CACGUAGGGCGCAAGCGUUGUCCGGAAUUAUUGGGCGUAAAGAGCUCGUAGGCGGUCUGUUGCGUCCGCUGUGAAAUCUCAAGGCUCAACCUUGAGCUUGCAGUGGGUACGGGCAGACUAGAGUGUGGUAGGGGGAGACUGGAAUUCCUGGUGUAGACGGUGAAAUGCGCAGAUAUCAGGAGGAACACCGAUGGCGGAAGGCAGGUCUCUGGGC
rnacentral:rRNA from 1 species